rnacentral:lncRNA from 1 species
UGAACGUCGGGUAGCUACAUUGCUAAACUCCGAUGACUCUGCCUCUGAGCAACCAAUAUCCGCUAUCAGGUUCAGAAAUACCUAAAUCUGCACACAAGGUGCAAGGAGUAAAGUGAGUACUUCUAACUCAGUGAGUAAUAAAAAUAAAUGAAGACUGAGCGAUAUAAAAUCACGUUAAGCACAACAUUAAGCUAUAAGAGGCAUAACAACAAUCAGUAAAUAUAAUCAAGCAAGGAAAUCUCAUAAAUACCAUUAAGCAUUCAACAAUAUAUAGGAAAAAUAACUAGAAAAGUAAACACACAAGAAUUGCUCCUCGGGCACAAUCAUAUAAAAAUCAGCCCCUUAGGCAAUAUCAUAGGACGAUACCAGCCCCUCCGGCUAUAUCUCAUAUAACAAUGGGUACCCGCGCUCACUAGGGGUAUGCAGACUCCUGGAGGAGCCAUUUACUGCUCAAGCACUAUAUCAAGCCAUCUCCUGGCAUCAUAAUCAGGCUCUCGACCUUCUAUCAAUCACAAGCCACCUCGUGGCGUACAAUAUCAGGCCCUCAGCUUCAUCAUCAUAAUCAGUAUAUCACCGUUGCAACGUGCAACCUGAACCAAAAGUAUACUCACAAAGCAGACCCUCGGCUUUACUCAAUUAGAAUUUCAUAAGCCACUCGAGCAACAGUAAAAUAUAAAGCUUAGCUCAAAACAUCUUUUAAAAUAUUAUUUAAGGUGUUUAUAACAAAAUAACUUAGCUGUUUUUGAAAAUAGUAAAAUAUGGCAUGACUGAUCACACGUAUGAAACCAAAUAAUAAGGAAAAUAUCAGUAAAAAUCCCCUAAGGGUUCAAACAAUUGGCACGAAACCCAAAUAUGGCAUUUAGCCCAAACUAUAAUAAUAUCAACCAAUUAGCUAUCAAAUACACAGUAAAAUAGUCAUUGAGGAUGGACUAAGUCAGAAUCCCCAAUGGUGCACGACUCCACGCUCGUCAUAUAGCGUGUGCGUCACCUUAAUACAACCGAACGUUGUGUAAUCUGGUAUUUCAUAUCCUUAGAACAACAUUUAAAAUCAUUACUCACCUCGAAUUAGCCCGAAAAGCUACACUCCAACACGCUUGCCUCUCGAACCAACUUCCGAGUGCUCCAACUCUACCAAGUUCAAAUUUUUAUCAACAAACAAUGCUAAAUGAACGAAUUCCAAUUGAAAGAUAUCGAUUUUAAGUAGAAAAUCCGAAAUCAGUUAAAACCCAACCCCCGGGCCCGCAUCCCAGAACAUGAAAAAAUUUAUACCAAAAUAUUUUUCAUCAUCUCACGAAUCCGUACAUAUGAAGAAUUCACAAACCGGAGUUUGUUUGACCCCUCAAAGCAUCCCUAGAAGGUCUCAUAAUCUCAAGCUCUAACUCCAUCUUUUUCUACUCAUUUUCAUGAAUUAAACAGAUAUUUUGUUCCUUAAGCACAAAUAAUCGAGUUUUAAGGUCCAAAAUCCUUACCUCAAUGAAGAACAAUGAUUUCAUCUCUACAAAAUCGCCUCAAAGCUCUUUUCCCGUUCAAAAAUGGUGUAAAAGGGUUUAAUGGUCACGGAUGAUUUAUUUAAAUAUUGUUCACACAUUUUACUAUUCACCCGAUUACUGUUCACCCAUGUUAUAGUUCAUCUGAGUUACUGUUCGUUUUGCUGUGAAAAAAAUACAGCUAUUUUUUCCGAAAUCUACCAGAGGCCCUUGGAAAUCUCAAAAAAUAUUCCAAAACGUCCCAUAACAUCAUUCAAACUUAGUCGAGCCUUCGAAACAGUAAAAACACCAAAAUCACAUCAAAUUCAAGCCUAUGAACUUUGAAAUUCCUAAAUUCCACCAAUGAUGCUGAAACUAUCCAAAACAACUCUGAUUGACCUAAAAUUUUGCACACAUAUCCAAAAUGACAUUACGUACCUAUUUCAACUGCCGAUCGGAAAUCGCCAAAAACUAACUUUCACCAAUUCAAGCCUAAUUCUACAUCGGACAUCAAAAGAAUAUUACAGACACAAUCCUAAGUCCCAAAUUACCUAACAAAGCUAUCUGAGCCAUAAAAUUUGCAUUUCGAGGUCAUUUACCAAUAAGUCAAAACUUGGUCAAACCUUUCAAUUUCAAGCUUCAAACUGAGAACUAUUCUUCCAAUUUCAUUCCGAUUACCCUAAAAACCAAAAACAACUAUUUACAUAAGUCAUAAUACAUUACACGUGGCAAGUCAUGCUCGAGAACGGGCGAGCAAAGUGCAAAAGCUCAAAACGGCCGGUCAGGUCAUUCCAUCCUCCCUAGUUAAACAUAUGUUCAUCCCCAAAUGUGUCCAAAGUUAUUCCAAAAGCCAACCAACCACCAAAUAAACAUACCAUGCACAUACCCGGGGGUGAUUCCACGUCACCCUAUCUCAUAUAGGUCUGAUAAUACAAUGCAGCUAAAAUUUCACAAUCCAACCUAGUCCUUCAACCUUAGAACCACAUAAUCACUUCCCAAAUCAUCCACAAGAUCAAAAUCUCAUAUCUAUACUCUGAAUAAGCCCGAAAAGGCUGUAAUAACCCAUACCUGCAACCUCAGGUGCAAUUACAUGAUCCACCACAUAACUCAAACACUUGUAGCGAUAACUUCUAAUCACAACAGCCGCAGACAACAACCGAAUAUCGAUAGAUAACCUCUUACCAACAAAAGCCUAUCCAACACUUUCAUAUACUUCCAAUGAUAAUGAAACACGUAGUAAGCCAUAACCAUUUCUCAGAGCAACCAAUUAUGAAACCACUUCUCCUUUGUUAAGGACCAUAGCAAUUUUUUGUGCAGAACCUCGAUAUUAUCCCUCUUACAUAUUGAAAUUGAAUUUGUUUGCAUUCAUUAAAGACCCAAACAGUCUCAUCUAAUCCAACACAAUUACUGUACACCUUUUUUUUACAUACCUACCCCGAAGGAUAAAUGUAUGAGGGAGUUUUUCAAUUUAAGUGACAUUAUUCGAAAUGGAAUUAUUUAUUUAUUUAGAGUCGCCACUUGGGAUAGGCUUGGCAUUUGGUGUCCCAAGUCACCUAUUUGUUUUGAAUCCCUAAUCGAGAAAAAUUUUUGACUUCCCAAAUUUAGUCUGCGAACUAGAAAUUCUAAGUAAGGAAUUCCGUUGACCUGAGGGUAGGUGUUAGGCACCCUCGGAUGUUUUAGCACAGUCUCUUAAACUAUUAUAAUUAGAUAAAACUGUGAUUUUAAUACAUGCCAUCCUAUAGUGCCAUUUUUAGGAUUAUUUACCACUUAAUAAUUUUUAAGAAAUUGAAAGUCGUUUAAAACAUGUUUUUGGAUCACGUCACAUGAAAUGUACCUGGAUCACAUGAAAUGCACACCCGAAUUUAGGAAGGUAAAAUUAUUAAAAGCGCGCCUAAAGUGACUAACGUGUUAUUAACUUUAUGGGAGGCCAUGGAAAUAUACUAAGCGACUCGUCCCAAGUUCUAUGUAUUUUAAUAUAAACCUUUAAAGAGGGCCACACAAUUUGUGAGUUUUAUUUGGCGCGACGCAUCUUAUUUUAUUUUAAAAGGCCACCCUAGAGCAAACUAUUAUUUUCUGUUGAAAAAGGGGCUUAAUUAAUUAAUAUUUUAAAAUUCGAGCCUUAAGUUCAAGUAUGGAUUCAAACAAAAGGGAAGAACUCUUAAUUUGUCCCCGCUACCUAACUCGAAAGACCAAAUCUAUAUCACGUUAAACUAUGAAUUAAGGCCUACGAAUUUGAAUCAAUAUGCGAACUCAGGAACCUAUUGUUAUCCAAAACGAAGCCAGAUAAAACAUAAAAUGUAACUAUUGAUUUUUGAAUAAAACCAUUAGACUGCUAAAUUAGAAUGAAUUAAGAUUUCUAGUUCAGUUACAGUGCUUCAAAUAUCAACUCAUAUCCAGGUAUAAUGACAUUGUCUAAAUCAGAAACAGAUGGUAGGGUAACAUACGUUGUUUUAGAUCUGACCUCAACUCAUUAUUAAACAUAUGAGAUCAGUUAUAACACUAGCUAUAGGAUCGAUUUUUGAAACUGCUUAAAGCUCAAGUAGCUAAUAGAUCCAAUUGACAACAUCAGAUAAGCUAGCCAUCAAUCGCGAUGACAAAGCAUACUAAUUAACUUAAUAAUGACUUCUGAAUCACAUACUACGAAUGAUGCUCCUAUUAGUUUCUUAUACCACACUGAUUACUGAGUUACUGCUCACAGAUGCAUGUUUACGACCUCUACAUCGGUUUCAUACUCAAACAGCCCUCAAUUAAAGAAUAAUCGAAUUGAAACCAACACUAGAUGACAAUAAUCAACUAAAGUCUCAAACAGUCAAAAGUGUGUCCAGUUUAAUUACAAGCCAAAAUCGUUGAAUGAGUGUUACAGCUAUUACUAAAGCUAAUAACAUUUAUUUCUACAAUUUCAAUAUGAAAACUGAAUAUUCCUCCAUUAUUAAACUCUGAAUGGUGUGCAUAAACAUAGAUUUGUACUUCUAAAUCUCCUGAGUUAGGGGAAAUACCUGGAAUUUGUAAUGAAACAAGGAGAAGAAGAAGGUCAGCAACAGUUCAAACAGCAAAUCACAGCAAACACUAAUUUUAGCUUUGGACUCAGCGAUGGAAAACUAGUAUGCAACCAAAAUGGACUCGAACAACACCAGGAUCAACUUGUAAUUAACCUAGGAGCCUCAAUUAUUGAUCAAGCUGGUAGAUCUAAGCUACUUUGACCUUAAGUAAACUAGAAGUCUGAAGUAGGAACUAAAAUUUUAAAUUUAACUAGGAACUACAGCAGAAUAGCACUUUUUUGGAGUUUUUCUUGGUACUUUUUGAACUUUUUAAAGAAUAGAGAUUGAACUUCAGUUGCUUGAUUUUGGAUUUUGAACUUCAAAUUGCAGAGAUUUGAAUUAGGAGUGUUUUUUUUGGAGGAAAUAUUUCAGAGGUGAAACUUUUGCGAAUU